CCUACGGGGGGCAGCAGUGAGGAAUAUUGGUCAAUGGGCGGGAGCCUGAACCAGCCAAGCCGCGUGAGGGAUGAAGGUACUGCGUAUUGUAAACUUCUUUUGUCAGGGAAUAAAGGCGGGGACUAGUCCCCGGUUGAGGGUACCUGAAUAAAAAGCAUCGGCUAACUCCGUGCCAGCAGCCGCGGUAAUACGGAGGAUGCGAGCGUUAUCCGGAUUUAUUGGGUUUAAAGGGUGCGCAGGCGGCCUGUUAAGUCAGCGGUAAAAGCUCGGGGCUCAACCCCGGCGUGCCGUUGAAACUGGCGGUCUGGAGUUGGAGAGAGGUACGCGGAAUGCGCGGUGUAGCGGUGAAAUGCUUAGAUAGCGCGCAGAACCCCGAUUGCGAAGGCAGCGUACCGGCUCCACACUGACGCUGAGGCACGAAAGCGUGGGUAUCGAACAGGAUUAGAUACCCCGGUAGUC
rnacentral:rRNA from 1 species